rnacentral:rRNA from 1 species
GAUGAACGCUGGCGGCGUGCCUAAUACAUGCAAGUCGAGCGAACGGACGAGAAGCUUGCUUCUCUGAUGUUAGCGGCGGGCGGGUGAGUAACACGUGGAUAACCUACCUAUAAGACUGGGAUAACUUCGGGAAACCGGAGCUAAUACCGGAUAAUAUUUUGAACCGCAUGGUUCAAAAGUGAAAGACGGUCUUGCUGUCACUUAUAGAUGGAUCCGCGCUGCAUUAGCUAGUUGGUAAGGUAACGGCUUACCAAGGCAACGAUGCAUAGCCGACCUGAGAGGGUGAUCGGCCACACUGGAACUGAGACACGGUCCAGACGCAUACGGGAGGCAGCAGUAGGGAAUCUUCCGCAAUGGGAGAAAGCCUGACGGAGCAACGCCGCGUGAGUGAUGAAGGGCUUCGGAUCGUAAAACUCUGUUAUUAGGGAAGAACAUAUGUGUAAGUAACUGUGCACAUCUUGACGGUACCUAAUCAGAAAGCCACGGCUAACUACGU